GUUAGCUCCGACCUGCCUUGCUCUUCCCACUACAUUCUGUCCCAUUGCCUUGGCUUUUCCCCUCCGGACAUUCCGGGUAUUUUGUUCCCAGAGCUGCUGGGAAUAAGGCGCUUCCACUUUCAUUCUCUUAGAAAUUGGGAAAGCACCGCGGGAGUCUAAGGGGAUAAAAGCGAGGCGGAAGCCCGCAAAAACCUGACACCACACUCGGCGAAGCUGUUGCGGAGAAGUACGCCGAGGACGGCGCGGGCAGGGAAGAAGCCAGCUUAUUCCUGGAUUCCAGAGGUGUUGCUUGUAGUCACUCAUGUCCUGGUCUCCUCCCAGUUGGAGUAAUGUAAUGCACUCUACAUGGGCCUGCCUUUGAAGACCAUCCCAAAACUACAACUGGUCUGGAAUGUGGCAAUGCAUGAAGUUAUGGCUGUUCCAUAUUUUGUCCAUUUUAUACCACUGCUGUGCAAGCUGCACUGACUCCCGGUUUCUAGAUGCAGUCCAAGUGUUUUCACUGUUAUUAA